rnacentral:rRNA from 1 species
GAUGAACGCUGGCGGCGUGCCUAAUACAUGCAAGUCGAGCGAACGGACGAGAAGCUUGCUUCUCUGAUGUUAGCGGCGGACGGGUGAGUAACACGUGGAUAACCUACCUAUAAGACUGGGAUAACUUCGGGAAACCGGAGCUAAUACCGGAUGAUAUUUUGAACCGCAUGGUUCAAAAGUGAAAGACGGUCUUGCUGUCACUUAUAGAUGGAUCCGCGCUGCAUUAGCUAGUUGGUAAGGUAACGGCUUACCAAGGCAACGAUGCAUAGCCGACCUGAGAGGGUGAUCGGACACACUGGAACUGAGACACGGUCCAGACUCCUACGGGAGGCAGCAGUAGGGAAUCUUCCGCAAUGGGCGAAAGCCUGACGGAGCAACGCCGCGUGAGUGAUGAAGGUCUUCGGAUCGUAAAACUCUGUUAUUAGGGAAGAACAUAUGUGUAAGUAACUGUGCACAUCUUGACGGUACCUAAUCAGAAAGCCACGGCUAACUACGUG